ensembl:lncRNA
UAGAAGUCAAUUAAUACAUUAGCCAUACUUAAAAAAACAUCUGAAUUUCAUUUAGAACUGAGAUUCUAAGUUGUAAGGAGGAAUCUUAUGCACAGCCAGAAACAUGUUUCCCCACUUUCACAAUGCUGAGGUGCCAAAUCCACAACCCCCAACAAAUGGUUUAUUACACGCAGGUGUGAAGGGCAAGCUUUACUUACACAGCCUCACACACAGUAGAUUUUUAAAGUUUUUUUGGGUACAGUGGUUUAGCCACAGAUGCAACAUCCACUUUUGAUAAAGAUCACUCCACCUGUUUAUUUCUUAAGAAAUUAGGCAUCUUUAUUAAGCUCUUAUUUAUACAUGUCUACACAUUAAUAGACACCGUAUGCUCUGAGACGUUAUAGUCUUCUACUUCUGCUUCCAUCGGUUUGCAUUUUAAACUCCCAGCCUUUCAGGUUGUUAUGAACGGCUUAUAUUUCUAACAUUUUGUGAUAUAAAAGUGAACCAUGUUUUUUUUUUUUAAUUUUCUGUUUGAUGGAAGGACUUAAGACACGAGUUAUUUAAACAAUUCUAAAUGACAGUGUGAUGGCCAUAGUACUUUAUGUGGGCCAAAUGUGUUAAGGAUAAUGUUUAUCAAUGUAAAAUUGCAAAGAACCUUUGAAUAGAUUAUAACAUUUUGUAAACAGUUACCUCAGAAGCUGUACUGGUAGAUCUAUGUAUGUAAGGUAAAACUUUCCACAGUACUUCCACUUAAGUAGCUAAACACAUAAAGUCACCCUUACCAAUAAUCCACUGCUCCUUGAAAAAAAGUAGCACAAACAGACGACUGACUGAGCAAUGAUAAGUAGAGCUACCCGAGGCCGAGACUCAAGCAGAAGAAAAUUAAAAGUUGUUGUUUUUGUGGCUCGAAAAAUUAAAGAAAGUAUGUUUAAUAAUUCAACAAGACCCGCACCUUCAACACAUGUACAUUCAAAUUUCAUUAUCAGAGUCAGUUAAUGAGACGACAGGAUGGCAGUGUCAGCUCUGGUUUGUUAAACUGUGUGUGUGUGUGUGUG